rnacentral:rRNA from 1 species
UACGAAGGGGGCUAGCGUUGCUCGGAAUCACUGGGCGUAAAGCGCGCGUAGGCGGAUCGUUAAGUCGGGGGUGAAAUCCUGGAGCUCAACUCCAGAACUGCCUUUGAUACUGGCGAUCUUGAGUCCGGGAGAGGUGAGUGGAACUGCGAGUGUAGAGGUGAAAUUCGUAGAUAUUCGCAAGAACACCAGUGGCGAAGGCGGCUCACUGGCCCGGUACUGACGCUGAGGUGCGAAAGCGUGGGGAGCAACA